rnacentral:rRNA from 1 species
UCCGUAGGCGGGAUAAUAAGUCAGUGGUGAAAGUCUGCAGCUCAACUGUAGAAUUGCCAUUGAUACUGUUGUUCUUGAAUUAUUAUGAAGUGGUUGGAAUGAGUAGUGUAGCGGUGAAAUGCAUAGAUAUUACUCAGAACACCUAUUGCGAAGGCAGAUCACUAAUAAUAUAUUGACGCUGAUGGACGAAAGCGUAGGUAGCGAACAGGAUUAGAUACCCUGGUAGUCC